rnacentral:misc_RNA from 1 species
GAUGAAGAACGUAGUGAAAUGCGAUAAGUAGUGUGAAUUGCAGAAUUCAGUGAAUCAUCGAAUCUUUGAACGCACAUUGCGCCCGGCAGUACUCUGCCGGGCAUGCCUGUUCGAGCGUCAUUUCAACCCUCAAGCCCUGCUUGGUGUUGGGGCCCCACGGCUGCCGUGGGCCCUGAAAGGAAGUGGCGGGCUCGCUACAACUCCGAGCGUAGUAAUUCAUUAUCUCGCUUAGGGCGUUGGGCGGCGCUCCAGCCGUUAAAGAACCAUCUUUAACUCAAGGUUGACCUCGGAUCAGGUAGGAAUACCCGCUGAACUUAAGCAUAUCAAUAAGCGGAGGA